rnacentral:rRNA from 1 species
AGAGACAGCAGCAGCCGCGGGAAUACGUAGGGUGCAAGCGUUAAUCGGAAUUACUGGGCGUAAAGCGUGCGCAGGCGGUUUUGUAAGACAGAGGUGAGAUCCCCGGGCUCAACCUGGGAACUGCCUUUGUGACUGCAAGGCUGGAGUGCGGCAGAGGGGGAUGGAAUUCCGCGUGUAGCAGUGAAACGCGUAGGGAUGUGGAGGAAUACCGAUGGCGAAGGCAGCCCCCUGGGCCAAUACUGACGCUCAUGCACGAAAGCGUGGGGAGCAAACAGGAUUAGAUACCCGAGUAGUCCCUGUCUCUUAUAC